GAUUCUUCGUGUUUCCAAGGCUUUUUAGGACUUCUUCAUAUCACAUUUUGUCUUUUCCAUCUAUCUUCUUUAUUUUUUUAUUUAUUGUUCCAAUCUUUGAUUUAUUAUUCUAUUUAUUUUAGUUUUUUUAUUUUUUUAUUUGACUUAGAUUUGAUUCUGUUUCAGGUUUUUGCAAUAUCCAAUUUUCUUUCCGAAGGUCUAAAGCCUUAAGUCAAAUUCGUGACUUAGACAACUUUACGAUCCUAUUUCUGCUAUCAUCCAUAUUAGAAGGGGGAAUUUCUAAAGCUUGUUUACACUUUCUCCCUUUUAAAUUAUCAUCUUCUUCUUCAGUC
rnacentral:lncRNA from 1 species